CUAUCAUGCAGUUCGAGCGAAUGGAUUAAGAGCUUGCUCUUAUGAAGUUAGCGGCGGACGGGUGAGUAACACGUGGGUAACCUGCCCAUAAGACUGGGAUAACUCCGGGAAACCGGGGCUAAUACCGGAUAAUAUUUUGAACUGCAUGGUUCGAAAUUGAAAGGCGGCUUCGGCUGUCACUUAUGGAUGGACCCGCGUCGCAUUAGCUAGUUGGUGAGGUAACGGCUCACCAAGGCAACGAUGCGUAGCCGACCUGAGAGGGUGAUCGGCCACACUGGGACUGAGACACGGCCCAGACUCCUACGGGAGGCAGCAGUAGGGAAUCUUCCGCAAUGGACGAAAGUCUGACGGAGCAACGCCGCGUGAGUGAUGAAGGCUUUCGGGUCGUAAAACUCUGUUGUUAGGGAAGAACAAGUGCUAGUUGAAUAAGCUGGCACCUUGACGGUACCUAACCAGAAAGCCACGGCUAACUACGUGCCAGCAGCCGCGGUAAUACGUAGGUGGCAAGCGUUAUCCGGAAUUAUUGGGCGUAAAGCGCGCGCAGGUGGUUUCUUAAGUCUGAUGUGAAAGCCCACGGCUCAACCGUGGAGGGUCAUUGGAAACUGGGAGACUUGAGUGCAGAAGAGGAAAGUGGAAUUCCAUGUGUAGCGGUGAAAUGCGUAGAGAUAUGGAGGAACACCAGUGGCGAAGGCGACUUUCUGGUCUGUAACUGAC
rnacentral:rRNA from 1 species